rnacentral:lncRNA from 1 species
CUUCCUCACAGAUUACCAGCAGGUUAUUUCUGAUUAAGUGUCUGAUGUUAGUAUUUAUUUUGUUGCGGUUAAAACCAAAUUAUAUUCCGCAUUAUUUUGAAAUUUGCACCCAAUUGACAUCACAAAUAGACUGUAGGAAUUCCCAAGUGUCUAUAAGCUUUGUUUUAAGAGGUAAUGACAAUGUAGCGCAUAUUAAAUCAUUAUAAUAGGUAUAGGUCUCCAUUUU